rnacentral:tRNA from 1 species
GGAGGUAUGGCUCAGUGGUAGAGCACUUGUCUAGCAUGUGUGAGGCCCUGGGUUUGAUCCCCAGCCCUUCA